rnacentral:tRNA from 1 species
GCGGGGGUGCCCGAGCUGGGACAAAGGGGGCGGACUUAAGAUCCGCUGGCGUAGGCCUGCGUGGGUUCAAAUCCCACCCCCCGCACCA